rnacentral:rRNA from 1 species
UACGAGGGGGGCAAGCGUUGUUCGGAAUUAUUGGGCGUAAAGGGCGCGUAGGCGGUCUUGUCAGUCCCUUGUGAAAUCCCCCGGCUCAACUGGGGAACUGCACGGGAAACAGCAGGGCUUGAGUUCGGGAGAGGGAAGCGGAAUUCCGGGUGUAGCGGUGAAAUGCGUAGAUAUCCGGAGGAACACCGGUGGCGAAGGCGGCUUCCUGGACCGAUACUGACGCUGAGGCGCGAAAGCUAGGGGAGCAAACGGG